rnacentral:rRNA from 1 species
CCCUUAGAUGUUCUGGGCUGCACGCGCGCUACACUGAUGCGCUCAACGAGUUUUAACCUUGCCUGGAAAGGUUGGGUAAUCUUUUUAAAACGCAUCGUGAUGGGGAUAGAUUAUUGCAAUUAUUAAUCUUCAACGAGGAAUUCCUAGUAAGCACAAGUCAACAGCUUGUGCUGAUUACGUCCCUGCCCUUUGUACACACCGCCCGUCGCUCCUACCGAUUGGGUGAUCCGGUGAAUGAUUUGGACUCUGGUUAUGCUAGCUACUAGCUGUGUCAGGGAAAACUUUGUGAACCUUAUCACUUGGAGGAAGGAGAAGUCGUAACA